UACAGAGGUCUCAAGCGUUGUUCGGAUUCAUUGGGCGUACAGGGUGCGUAGGUGGCGCGCUAAGUCGGGUGUGAAAUUUCGGAGCUUAACUCCGAAACUGCAUUCGAUACUGGCGUGCUUGAGGACUGGAGAGGAGACUGGAAUUCAUGGUGUAGCAGUGAAAUGCGUAGAGAUCAUGAGGAAGACCAGUGGCGAAGGCGGGUCUCUGGAUCGGUACUGACGCUGAGGUGCGAAAGCGUGGGGAGCAAACAGG
rnacentral:rRNA from 1 species